rnacentral:rRNA from 1 species
AAACAGCUUGCUGUUUCGCUGACGAGUGGCGGACGGGUGAGUAAUGUCUGGGAAACUGCCUGAUGGAGGGGGAUAACUACUGGAAACGGUAGCUAAUACCGCAUAACGUCGCAAGACCAAAGAGGGGGACCCUCGGGCCUCUUGCCAUCGGAUGUGCCCAGAUGGGAUUAGCUUGUUGGUGGGGUAACGGCUCACCAAGGCGACGAUCCCUAGCUGGUCUGAGAGGAUGACCAGCCACACUGGAACUGAGACACGGUCCAGACUCCUACGGGAGGCAGCAGUGGGGAAUAUUGCACAAUGGGCGCAAGCCUGAUGCAGCCAUGCCGCGUGUAUGAAGAAGGCCUUCGGGUUGUAAAGUACUUUCAGCGGGGAGGAAGGGAGUAAAGUUAAUACCUUUGCUCAUUGACGUUACCCGCAGAAGAAGCACCGGCUAACUCCGUGCCAGCAGCCGCGGUAAUACGGAGGGCGCAAGCGUUAAUCGGAAUUACUGGGCGUAAAGCGCACGCAGGCGGUUUGUUAAGUCAGAUGUGAAAUCCCCGGGCUCAACCUGGGAACUGCAUCUGAUACUGGCAAGCUUGAGUCUCGUAGAGGGGGGUAGAAUUCCAGGUGUAGCGGUGAAAUGCGUAGAGAUCUGGAGGAAUACCGGUGGCGAAGGCGGCCCCCUGGACGAAGACUGACGCUCAGGUGCGAAAGCGUGGGGAGCAAACAGGAUUAGAUACCCUGGUAGUCCACGCCGUAAACGAUGUCGACUUGGAGGUUGUGCCCUUGAGGCGUGGCUUCCGGAGCUAACGCGUUAAGUCGACCGCCUGGGGAGUACGGCCGCAAGGUUAAAACUCAAAUGAAUUGACGGGGGCCCGCACAAGCGGUGGAGCAUGUGGUUUAAUUCGAUGCAACGCGAAGAACCUUACCUGGUCUUGACAUCCACGGAAGUUUUCAGAGAUGAGAAUGUGCCUUCGGGAACCGUGAGACAGGUGCUGCAUGGCUGUCGUCAGCUCGUGUUGUGAAAUGUUGGGUUAAGUCCCGCAACGAGCGCAACCCUUAUCCUUUGUUGCCAGCGGUCCGGCCGGGAACUCAAAGGAGACUGCCAGUGAUAAACUGGAGGAAGGUGGGGAUGACGUCAAGUCAUCAUGGCCCUUACGACCAGGGCUACACACGUGCUACAAUGGCGCAUACAAAGAGAAGCGACCUCGCGAGAGCAAGCGGACCUCAUAAAGUGCGUCGUAGUCCGGAUUGGAGUCUGCAACUCGACUCCAUGAAGUCGGAAUCGCUAGUAAUCGUGGAUCAGAAUGCCACGGUGAAUACGUUCCCGGGCCUUGUACACACCGCCCGUCACACCAUGGGAGUGGGUUGCAAAAGAAGUAGGUAGCUUAACCUUCGGGAGGGCGCUUACCACUUUGUGAUUCAUGACUGGGGUGAAGUCGUAACAAGGUA